rnacentral:misc_RNA from 1 species
AGACUCAAUCCCUCGGGUUUCCGAGGAGAUUGGACUUGGGUGCUGCCGCUCCGCUGGCUCGCCUUAAAAGACUUAGCGGGAUAGCACCGUAGUCGGCGUAAUAAGUUUCGUCGGUGAAGGUUGUGAUGACUGCUUACAAUCGCCCUCGGGCAAUUUUUGA